CCAUUUAGUGGGGAAUAACUGUUGGAAACGACAGCUAAUACCGCAUAAUAUUGCUGGAUAAUUUCCAGUAAUGAAAGGAGCUUUCAAGCUCCGCUGAUUGAUGAGGAUGCGGCGCAUUAGCUAGUUGGUAGGGUAAUGGCCUACCAAGGCAAUGAUGCGUAGCCGAUCUGAGAGGAUGAACGGCCACAUUGGGACUGAGACACGGCCCAAACUUCUACGGAAGGCAGCAGUAGGGAAUUUUUCACAAUGGGCGAAAGCCUGAUGGAGCAAUGCCGCGUGACUGAUGAAGGUCUUCGGAUUGUAAAGGUCUGUUGUAAGGGAAGAAAUGGUAAAACAGGAAAUGGUUUUAUCUAUGACGGUACCUUACCAGAAAGCCACGGCUAACUAUGUGCCAGCAGCCGCGGUAAUACAUAGGUGGCAAGCGUUAUCCGGAUUUAUUGGGCGUAAAGGGUGCGUAGACGGUUUUGCAAGUCUGANGUUAAAUUUAGGAGCUCAACUCCUAAUCGCCUUGNAAACUACAAGACUAGAGUAUAGGAGAGGNUAGUGGANUUCC
rnacentral:rRNA from 1 species